rnacentral:rRNA from 1 species
GAUGAACGCUAGCUACAGGCUUAACACAUGCAAGUCGAGGGGCAGCAUGGUCUUAGCUUGCUAAGGCCGAUGGCGACCGGCGCACGGGUGAGUAACACGUAUCCAACCUGCCGUCUACUCUUGGACAGCCUUCUGAAAGGAAGAUUAAUACAAGAUGGCAUCAUGAGUUCACAUGUUCACAUGAUUAAAGGUAUUCCGGUAGACGAUGGGGAUGCGUUCCAUUAGAUAGUAGGCGGGGUAACGGCCCACCUAGUCUUCGAUGGAUAGGGGUUCUGAGAGGAAGGUCCCCCACAUUGGAACUGAGACACGGUCCAAACUCCUACGGGAGGCAGCAGUGAGGAAUAUUGGUCAAUGGGCGAGAGCCUGAACCAGCCAAGUAGCGUGAAGGAUGACUGCCCUAUGGGUUGUAAACUUCUUUUAUAAAGGAAUAAAGUCGGGUAUGUAUACCCGUUUGCAUGUACUUUAUGAAUAAGGAUCGGCUAACUCCGUG